rnacentral:lncRNA from 1 species
GGGCUGCAGACAGUCAUUAAAAGUGAAUGUUAGGACAACUAUCCCUGCCCUAGACAGGGAGCCCCAGGCCAGGCACUCUGUAUAAAUGACCUGAUUUAGGAUGCUCAGACUCAGAGAAUGAAGAAGAUACAGGCUUGACUCUCACUUCCAACAAGCAAUCACUCUGAACCAGACCUGACCAGCUCUAAAGACAAGCUACCCUCAACUCGUCCAGAAGGGAUCUGAAGCUGCCCUUCAAAGACUCAAACAAGCACUUGAUCUGCCAUCAAAGCAUGUACCUGGCCUUCCUCAGAACCAUCAGCAUUUUGUAUUGCUGGUUUCUCCAACUAAAAGCCCAUAGAGAGCUUU